rnacentral:lncRNA from 1 species
UAACAUUUAACUUCGUAAUUCAUCCUGAUUUUAUUUUGCCAUUGUACAAAAUCAUCAGUAUGUCUUUAAGUUAUCUUAAAGAUCAUUUAGGGCCCUGCUUUAUGGAUAGCCUUUCCCUACACUGGGGGAAGGUAGGCAGGGGAGCUGUCUGGGUUGAGGGCCCUGGUUGCUGACAGCUCAGGCACUUCAGAGAAUAAACACAUCAAAAACAA